AUUGAACGCUGGCGGCAGGCCUAACACAUGCAAGUCGAGCGGAUGAAGGGAGCUUGCUCCUGGAUUCAGCGGCGGACGGGUGAGUAAUGCCUAGGAAUCUGCCUGGUAGUGGGGGAUAACGUCCGGAAACGGGCGCUAAUACCGCAUACGUCCUGAGGGAGAAAGUGGGGGAUCUUCGGACCUCACGCUAUCAGAUGAGCCUAGGUCGGAUUAGCUAGUUGGUGGGGUAAAGGCCUACCAAGGCGACGAUCCGUAACUGGUCUGAGAGGAUGAUCAGUCAAACUGGAACUGAGACACGGUCCAGAAUCCUACGGGAGGCAGCAGUGGGGAAUAUUGGACAAUGGGCGAAAGCAUGAUCCAGACAUGACGCGUGUGUGAAGAAGGGAUUCGGAUUGUAAAGAACUUUAAGUUGGGAGGAAGGGCAGUAAGUUAAUACCUUGCUGUUUUGACGUUACCAACAGAAUAAGCACCGGCUAACUUCGUG
rnacentral:rRNA from 1 species